rnacentral:pre_miRNA from 1 species
AACAUACUCCCUCCGUCCGAAAAAACUUGUCAUCAAAAUGGACAAAAAGGGAUGUAUCUAGAACUAAAAUACAUCUAGAUACAUCCCCUUUUAUUCAUUUUGAAGACAAGUAUUUCCGGACGGAGGGAGUACAAG